rnacentral:rRNA from 1 species
CGGACGGGUGAGUAACACGUGGAUAACCUACCUAUAAGACUGGGAUAACUUCGGGAAACCGGAGCUAAUACCGGAUAAUAUAUUGAACCGCAUGGUUCAAUGGUGAAAGACGGUUUUGCUGUCACUUAUAGAUGGAUCCGCGCCGCAUUAGCUAGUUGGUAAGGUGACGGCUUACCAAGGCAACGAUGCGUAGCCGACCUGAGAGGGUGAUCGGCCACACUGGAACUGAGACACGGUCCAGACUCCUACGGGAGGCAGCAGGG